ensembl:processed_transcript Gm15927 predicted gene 15927
GGUUGUCGGAGCAUCCUUCCUUUGCCUGUCUAGGCUGUUAUCUGAUCCUCGUAGUUAUUCCCCAAGCGCGUUUGCUUGGUAUAUCUCUAAAACUCAGUGCUUUCUAAAGGAUGAAAGAAAGAAAGAAGGAAUCAGGAACAUUGCAGAAGCGACUGAGAAACACAAGGCGUGGGACUGACGUUUCUCUGGUUAAGUUAGCAGACUGGGACCUUCCCUGGAGUUGCAAGGACUCCAGCUGUAGAGGAAACUGCGCUUUGCCCUACCUCGGUUACAUCUGUAAUGACUACUCACUAGAGUUCUGCUAUGCUUCUUAAGGAGUAAACUUCUCCGACCACCCUUGCCGAGUGCUUAGGUGAGCCUCUGGUUUAAUUUUGUUUGAUUCCUGCCGUUUUUACACAUACUUGAGUCUCACUCUCUGGAUUUCUCGUUGUUUAGUACCCAUGAAGCACUCCAUAGCCCUUGCUGACUAGGUUGCAAACGUGAGCACCACGUUUUCAUGAAUUGGGGAAACUCGAUCUAUCUCUGCCUACUAUGUGGAGGAAAAGAAGAUAAAUCCACACUUGAAGAGAACGUGCACGUGCAUUUCACCGCAUCAGAAUGGCAUGAAGCAAGAGAAAAAAAAUGGCUUAUAAAAAGGCAUAUUCUUCGGCUGGAAAGAUGGCUCAGCAGUUAAGAACAUUUUCCUGCAGAGGACCAGUUCCCACAGGGUGGCUUGCAUGCUUGUAACUUCAGUUCCAGAUCUGACUCUUUCAGCUGGCAUCUGCUGGUGCACUUAAGCUCACACAUUUAUGUAAUUUUUAGAUGCAUAUUCUUAGGGUCACAUAGACUUAAGAAGGUGAAACCUAGGGACCAGUGUUUGUCCAGAUUUUUUAAACAGCUUCUACACUCUCUCGAGUUUGUUAUUCAUUCAGUUUUGCUAUUUCAUGCGGGCCCAAGAAUGGGGAACUGCUUCUAGCUCUAUCAGGAAUCCCUGCCAAAUUAUUAAGAUGCAGCUUCCUUCUUAUCUAGGCGGUCCCCAAUUCUGCUUUUUCUAACAAGCUCCCAGGAUAUACUAAUGGCCUUAAAAACAGUUAUGAUUCUCGGGCUGAGCUGCACUUUAGAAUCACCGGGGGAGUUGGUGGAGGUAGAAUCCAGAUACUUAAGACUUAUGCUAGAACAAUUACAUCAACAGCUAGAGUUGGAAACUAGUUAUUCUUUCCCUGAAAUGAUCCAUGGAAAUUCCUGUUUUUCUUUCCAGUAGAGAGAUUUGAAACCAAGGCUUAACAUGCUAGGGAGGAAGACUACUAUUGAGCUAUUUCCAGUCGAUUCUUGCCUCUCCUUUUUGACAGAUUUCACAUAGGACAGGCUGGAUUGGACCUAGAGCUUUGCAGCAGAGAAUGACCUUGAACUUCAAGUCUUCCUGCUUCCAUUUCUCAAAUACUGGAUUUCAGGUAUGUGCUUACCACCAUGUGGCUGCUUCUUCGACCUUUUAAGGAACUGGAAGUCACUGUGUAGACUAGGUUCGCCAGAGAACUCACAGAAAUCUGGUCUCUGCCUGGUAACGCUGGGAGUGAGUGAGUGCCACCACACCGCAAAGCCCUUUUAAAAUGUUUGAGACAUGGCCUUGACACUGCUAGGCAGGCACCCCGGUUUGAACGGUAUUGCUGGCCCUUUAAAAACUUUGAUUGUGUACGUAUAGGUGUUUAGCUUAUGCGUGUCUACACCACAUGUGCACCUGGUGCCCAAGGAGAUAAGAAAAGGAUGUCAUUCUCUGGGGCUAGAGCUAUAGACCAUUGUAGGCUGACGUGGGUGCUGGGAAUCAAACCCAGGUCCUCUUGAGGAGCAGCCAUCUCUUUAGUCAACUCCCCCUAACAUUUUGUGUGUGUGUAUAUGCAUAUGAAUGUGUGCAUAUGCAUAUGAAUGUACUGUGUGCAGGUGCACAUGCAUGUGCUUAUGAAGGCCAAGUCAAUCUCAGCAGCUCAUUUUUUGUUGUUGCUGUUUUUGAGGUUGUUUUGCUUUGUUUUAGAUAGGCCACUCAUCAGGACCAUACAUACCUGUGUCCACCUUGUCAGCAUUGGAAUGGCAAAUACAUGCUACCAACUCCUUGCCUUUAUAUGGGUGCCAAGUAUUGAACUCAUGGUUUUAUGCUGUUGUUUUGGCUUUAUUUUGGUUUUGGGGUUUUUCAAGACAGGGUUUCUCUGUGUAGCCCUCAAUGUCCUGGAACUUACUCUGUACACCAGGCUGUCUUUAGACUCAGAGAUCUGCCUGCUUCUGCCUUCCAAGGUUCCCAUGUUUUUAUGAAAUACACUUUACCAACAGU